AAGAGAUUUUAGAUUAUAGAAAUAGCUGCUAACUAAUUUCUAAAGCGGUUUAAUUCCGUUUAUCUCUUU
rnacentral:tRNA from 1 species